rnacentral:rRNA from 1 species
AACGCGAAGAACCUUACCUACUCUUGACAUCGAGCGAACUUUCCAGAGAUGGAUGGGUGCCUUCGGGAACGCUCAGACAGGUGCUGCAUGGCCGUCGUCAGCUCGUGUUGUGAAAUGUUGGGUUAAGUCCCGUAACGAGCGCAACCCUUGUCCCUAUUUGCCAGCGAUUCGGUCGGGAACUCUAGGGAGACUGCCGGUGACAAACCGGAGGAAGGUGGGGACGACGUCAGGUCAUCAUGGCCCUUACGAGUAGGGCUACACACGUGCUACAAUAACCGGUACAAUGGGCUGCAAUCCCGCGAGGGGGAGCUAAUCUCAUAAAGCCGGUCUCAGUCCGGAUCGGAGUCUGCAACUCGACUCCGUGAAGUCGGAAUCGCUAGUAAUCGUGAAUCAGAAUGCCACGGUGAAUACGUUCCCGGGUCUUGUACACACCG